CCUACGGGCGGCAGCAGUGAGGAAUAUUGGUCAAUGGGCGGAAGCCUGAACCAGCCAAGUCGCGUGAGGGAAUAAGGCCCUACGGGUCGUAAACCUCUUUUGCCGGGGAGCAAGGGCGGGGACGUGUCCCGGCCCGGAGAGUACCCGGAGAAAAAGCAUCGGCUAACUCCGUGCCAGCAGCCGCGGUAAUACGGGGGAUGCGAGCGUUAUCCGGAUUUAUUGGGUUAAAUGGGUGCGUAGGCGGGCUUUUAAGUCAGCGGGAAACAUUCGGGGCUCAACCGCGUCCGGCCGUUGAAACUGGGGGCCUUGAGUGAGCGAGAAGAAGGCGGAAUGCGUGGUGUAGCAGUGAAAUGCAUAGAUAUCGCGCAGAACCCCGAUUGCGAAGGCAGUCUUCCGGCGCCCUACUGACGCUGAGGCACGAAGGUGCGGGGAUCGAACGGGAUUAGAUACCCUAGUAGUC
rnacentral:rRNA from 1 species